AAUAAUUAAACAAGUAUUAUUUAAUAAAUAAUAUUUUACAAGUUUGUUUUUUUAUUAAAUUUUGUAAGAAAUUACAUCCAUUAAAUUGAUUAAAUUAACAAUGUCAUAAAAAUUUAUGUUCCACUAUGAAUAGAAGACACUAUGCCAAUAUGGUAAAACAGUACGUAAUAUCCACAAUGCUACGUGGAUCGGCAACGUGAAAUCUACGUGAAUAUUCGAGUGGACAUUCGCUCAAAAACGGUACUAGAAUCUAUGUGGAUGCGAUCAUAGAUUCGAUGUAGUAACUACGUAAAAAUUUUACAAACUGUAAAAACAUCCUCGUAAUAUACACGUACUUUUUAAAUUUCUUGGAGUGAAACGUCACUCCAGAAGAAUGAAAUUUUACUCUAAGCGAUAAUGAAAUAUACGGCCACUCGACAUGGAGUGACAUCUCACUUCUUAUAAGAAUGAAUUUUUCGCUCAAUAAGUUAUCUCUUCAUUUGAACACUGGAGUGAAGAUCACUUUUCUUGUACCGAAUCGUUCACUCAAUUAAGAUGAAUAAAUCAAAAGUAUUAUGUGGCGGUCCUCUUCCACGUCGGGCAGGAAGCUAAUUAUUGCUUAUCUUAAUCGUGCUGCAAGUGAGCUUUACAUAGCGCGUGGAGUGUACCUUACUCCCGAGAGAGUUACGCCGCCUAUCGACGGCGCCAGGCACUGACGGACGAGCGCACAACGUUUCUCGAAAUAUCCAUGUAAAUUCCCUAUAAAUAUUUCUUAACAGAUAUAUCCACAUAAAAUCUAAUAGAUAUUUUGAAGAUAAAAGAAUUCGAUGCAAUGAUGAAAAAAGAACAUUGCAUCCACGUGGAUAACUUGUGGAAAAUCCUGCGUCUACGUAAUCCAUGUAAAUCACGUGGAUUCCACGUGGAUGUCACGUAACUGUUUUAUUCGGGUAAUAGUACAUAAACAAUUUAUAUAUAAUAUAGAAGAUAAACACAUACUUACCUGAUAGAUAAAUUUACCAAGAAAUUGAAACGACCGACUCUAAAUUUUUGCAGGUAAAUUAUUAAUCUUCCUUUUAUUUUUUUAUUUUCAUUUGUGUUAAGAUUUUCAUUAUUUUAAAAUAAAUAACUAUAAUACCUCACAAUUAUUAAAAAAUUCUAAAUACAUGUUUUCAGGGUAAUUAAAAAUAAUAUUACUUAUUAAAUAAUGUUUAUUAAAUAAUGCAUUAUUUCUUUUUUUAUUUUUGUUAUAUAGCUGUAAGUUUUCUUUACAUGUAAUCUAGAUAUAAAGAACUAUUGUACACAUUUUUCUUACUUUUUAUUUGCAAUUUUAUGAAUAUUGUCUAACUACUCCUACUUUUUUCCUUUUUCCUCUUUCGUUUCUUUUAUUUAUUUGAUCUUUUUUUGAAGCAAUGGAUUUAUUGGUGGGAUCAUAAAAAUUGAUUCCUUUCCCCAUACUUCACUAUUUAUAAACAUUAUUAAAUACUAAUUAAUAAUUAAUUACUGUUACAUAAUUACUUAAUUAUGUAAUAGUAAUUAAUUAGUAUUUAAUAAUAUUUAUAAAUAGUUAAGUAUAAGGAAAGGAAUCAAUUUUUAUGAUCCCACCAAUAAAUCCAUUGCUUCAAAAAAAGAUUAAAUAAAUAAGAGAAAUGAGAGAGGAAAAAGAAAAAAAGCAGGAGUAAUUACACAAUAGUCCAUGAAAUUGCAAAUAAAGAGUAAGAAAAAUGUGUACAAUAGUUCUUUAUAUCUAGAUUAUAUAUAAAGAAAACUUACAGCUAUAUAACAAAAAUAAAAUUAAUAAUUAUAAUUAUAGCUGUAAUAUAUAGCUGUAAUAUAUAGCUGUAAGUUUUCUUUAUAUAUAUAAUCUAGAUAUAAAAAACUAUUGUACACAUUUUUCUUACUCUUUAUUUGCAAUUUCAUGGACUAUUGUCUAACUACUCCUGCUUUUUUCCUUUUUCCUCUCUCAUUUCUUUUAUUUAUUUGAUCUUUUUUUGAAGCAAUGGAUUUAUUGGUGGGAUCAUAAAAAUUGAUUCCUUUCCUCAUACUUAACUAUUUAUAAAUAUUAUUAAAUACUAAUAAUUAAUUACUAUUAUAUAAUUAAGUAAUUAUGUAACAGUAAUUAAUUAUUAAUUAGUAUUUAAUAAUGUUUAUAAAUAGUGAAGUAUGGGGAAAGGAAUCAAUUUUUAUGAUCCCACCAAUAAAUCCAUUGCUUCAAAAAAGGUCGAAUAAAUAAGAGAAGAACCCAAAACCGUUUAAAUAACGGAUUUUUUGGUUACAGUUUCGAUUUUUAAUUCUAAUAAUAUUAUUUCAUAAGUAUGCAUUAGAAUUAAAAACCGGAGCCAUAACCGAAAAAUCCGUUAUUUAAACGGUCUUGAGUUUUUGUAUUUGUCAAGAAACUGAAACUGAAACUAGAACCGUUUUCAAAUAUUUAAUUAAACUGUAACCGAAACCGAACCGUAAUUUGAUUCGGUCUGGGUCCCUGCCUGAAAGAGAUUCCUUUUUCAUAUAAUUUAGCAUUUAUAUCAUUUUAUAACAAUUUGAAUCGAUAAAGAGAAAAUCAUACUUACGAGAGAAUCAUAUCGAGAGAACCAAAUAACAUAUAUUUGUUGACUCGCGUGUAUGUGCACAAGUGUAAGAAAGUACGACAUUCGUUGACGUGAGCAAUUACAAUACAGCCGCCAAAAGAAGAAAUUAGAUUAGAUAAUUAGUUAGCCUUUUAAUAAGUAAAACAAAAUGUGCGAUUGAUUGUGUUCAAUUUUGAUUAAUGAAUCAAAUAUCAAGCCGCUAAGUUGCGAAACAACAAGUUAUCAAUGACAGAAAAAAAUGCGUGCGUUUUGUAUCAAUGCACAAAAGAUAUUUGAAAUCAAUAGUAUCUGACGUAUUAUAAAAUCAGAAAAAAUGUCCUAAUAGCUAUAUACAUAAUCGAUAUAUAAUUAUUGAGGCAUUAUGUGUAUUUAACUAUGGUAUGAUGGUCGUAGACUAUAAUUUUUCUAAUAAUUGCUAAAUAAUGUGUGUUCUUGUGAUCAUUCUCAAAGAUAAUCAAUAAUUACAGUAAUUUGUAUGCCCACAUUAUUUGAAAUAACAAUAUUGUAAAUAUUAUAUCAUAUUUUUAUUUUAAAAUGUCUGCAAAGUUUUCCAUGUAUUCAUUAAAAAUUACUAUAAUGUCGCAUAAUUUAUACCUAAAUAGAUAUAUUUCUUCAUAUUGUCUACAUAGUGACAAAAUUUGAAAAUUAAAAAUGAUGGCAUAUAUACUCAAAGAUGCGUCCUCACACAACAUGAGUGCUGUCAACAAAAGAAACAGAUUUUCUGAUGCUAUAAAAAUAUGGCAAUAUGCUGCUUAUUUUGCCAAAAGCAGAAUGCAAUCAAUUCAUUAUUAUUAAGGCAAUAAUUCAAAUAGACAUUGCUUGGUAGUUGAGCAUAAUCAAUGUUAAACACAUAACAAAUAUGUAAAUUAUAUAUAAUGUGUGAUUAUAUCUUUUCCCUUUUUUAUUUUUUAUAAAUACUAUGACUAUCUUUCCCUCAGUUUAGGUAAAAUUUUUUAAAUUAAAAAAAAAUUAAAAUUAAACUUGGUAACAAGUUUCUUGUUUAUUUACAUGUUAAGACAUAUAUUUUAUUUAUUUAUAAUUGAAAAUUCUAUUUUAAAAACAAUUUUUUAUAGUUUAAAGAAGUCAAAUUUUAGGUGAAAUUAACACUAAAUCUAGUAAUAAUGCAAAUAAAUGUAAUGUGCCAAUAAAACUAAAUAUGUUAAAUUAUAAUUUUUUAAUUAUUUUAUAAAUAAGUACAUAAAAUAUGAUUAAAUUAAUGUCCUAGUAGGGUGGCACCAGGAUGGCCAUCGAUUGGAUAAUUUAAAAUACAAUGUUUUAAUUGGUGGAUACAAGAGAAAAGCUAUAGCAGCAAUCAUCUAUGGCCGGAAUUCAUAGUCGAAUCUUAUUCAAGUUCCAGCUUAAGCACGAUCUUGAGACGUCAAUGCUGUUAUUUCAUUGGUUAAGUAAGUCUCAAGUCGAAGCUAGACUUAAGACAAUGCUUGAGCUUAAGAUCGGUCUAUGAAUCCCGUCCUAUGAAUGGCUGUGGUUAAUCCGGACGUAGCCGGAUGCUCCUGUCCUAGUAUCAUGGCCAUCUUUCAUUAAAAGUUAUAGAAGAUGACUAAUCUAUGUUUUAAUAUUUUAAUAAUAUAAAAUUUUUAUUGAAUAUUUUUUUAAAUGUUGAUUGCGUACUUUAAGUUUCAAUCAAGUAAUAUACCAAACGCUAUUAAAAAAUAAUAUAAAUAAAAUUAUAUUUUUUGCAUUUUAAGGGGAUGCUGGAGUCGUCUGUUUUACCGAUUAAACGCUCAUUAUUUUCUGACAAAGCUUGGCUCUUAAUUGAUUUCAUAAAAUUGUAAAUUCUUUUCCAGAAUUAAAAUAUAGAUAAUAACAAAUCCUGAUAGAUACAAUUUUCCUUAAAAAAAAAAAAAAACUUUUGUGCAGUCGUCUUGUAAUUUUCACCCGUAGCACAAAGUUUUAAAGAUUCUAUACGUACAAAAUGUAACUGUUAUGCAAGGUUGUCACUAUGGGAAAGAAUAAUAAUGUGCUUUCAGAAGUGCUAGAAAUUUUUGGUAUAAGAGAAAAAUUUAUCUGAAAAUUUUAUAUGUGUGAGUACGGAUUCGGAAAAAGUUGAUAAGUAGACUAAUAUGAAAAAAAUUUUUUUGUUCUCGAUAUAAAAUUCAAUUCACAGAUUGAUAUUAAUAUGUGUACUUUAAUUCUAAAAAAAAAGAAUUUCUAAAUCUAUAAAAAAAAUAUAUACAAAAUCUCAUUAAUGAUGUGCACGAAUGACUUUACAUUAUCGACUCCGAUCAAGUUUGAGAGGCAGUCCAGCAUUCCCUUAAGAAACUAUGACUAUCAUACUCAAAUUUAUCUUACAACCACACAUUAAUUUUAUAAAUUAUUUUCCAUGUUUUUGUUUCUCUCUACUUUUUCUCAUUUUAUGUAUGACUUUCUAUCACCAAAUCAAAAAUCGGUUGUUUUUAAUUUAAGCCAUCAUACAAUAAUAUAUGAAAACACAUCUUCUUGAUUUAUGUCUCAUGGCACAACACGUUUUAUCCUUAUUCUUACCUGUUCCUACUAGCAUAGGAAAUAAUACUUUAUUCAAAAUAUGUAACAUAUUUAUAUGAUUUGUAUUUAGAUUACACUUCGAAAUAUAUAAAUAUCAAAUAUACACAGAGAAAACUGUUUCUUUGAAUUUAAUAUAUGUAUUUGUUUGAAUUAUAUUUGUUUCGCUGGAAAAAAUUUAUUUCUUACAAAACAUUGUUUUAUUGAAUAAAAAUUUGAUUGUUUCGUUACAAUAAAUCAUAUUGUUUAACAGAAUAAUCACUAUUAUUUGAAACAAUAUUUGAUUUAAAUAAAAACAUUAUUUGAUUCAAAUAAAAUUCAAUCUUAUAUGGUCGCAGGAGCCGCGAUGUAAUUCGCGGACCGCCACUAGGCGACCACGUACGUAGCACCUUUCUCGUAAUGCAAUUUACACUCCAAAAGUUAUAUAAGCAGACCACCUACGGCGACAGAAAAUGUAUCAACCUAUGAUAUCGUGGUGGGCUCUCGAGGCCUACGUAUUUUUUAUUACGUCUUAAAGGCACAUCCAUUGAUCUCAUUAAAGUGGAUAUGGCAUAGGACGAAAUGGUGUGAUCAAUUGAAGGUUGUAGUCUCUGUACACAAUGUGGCGGUGUAUACGAAUACGAACACAGUAUACUGUGACAAUAAUAUGAAGUUCCAUGUAAUUAAUAAUUAUCUGUAGUACGCAGAUGUGUAGCAGUUUAUUCAAAAUAUUACUUUUUUAAUAAUAGAAAUAGUAAAAAUAGUGAGAGACUUCCAAAAUGAAAAAAUGUGUUUAUUGUGGAAAAGGAAAUGAAAAUAAACAACAAACGUUUUAUAAUUGAAUAAGAUUCCCAAUAAGAAAAAAUAUUCACAAUUAUUUGAAAAAUGGAUUGAAAAUAUGAACCUGGAUUCAAAUAUAUAUAAAAAUAUCAAAAGAUUCAAGACUAUGUUCAGAUCAUUUUGAGAAAAAACAUUUUUAUGUAGAAAAUAAAAGUACAUAUUUAAAAUCAGAAAGUGUUCCAACAAUAUUCAACAAAUAAAAAUCGAAAUGUGCAAUAUGUAAAGUAAAGAAAGGGACAAAUCUUCGAUCUUUUCACAAUUAUACCCUGGUGAAAAUGUAAAAUCGGAACGAAUGUAAGUCGAAUGUAAAGGGAGAGU